AUUGAACGCUGGCGGCGUGCUUAACACAUGCAAGUCGAGCGGUAACAGGCGUAGCAAUACGUGCUGACGAGCGGCGAACGGGUGAGUGAUGCUUCGGAAUCUUCCUUGUAGUGGGGAAUAACUCGGGGAAACUCGGGCUAAUACCGCAUACGUCCUACGGGAGAAAGUGGGGGAUCUUCGGACCUCACGCUAACAGAUGAGCCUAGGUCGGAUUAGCUAGUAGGUGAGGUAAUGGCUCACCUAGGCGACGAUCCGUAACUGGUCUGAGAGGAUGAUCAGUCACACUGGAACUGAGACACGGUCCAGACUCCUACGGGAGGCAGCAGUGGGGAAUAUUGGACAAUGGGCGAAAGCCUGAUCCAGCCAUGCCGCGUGUGUGAAGAAGGUCUUCGGAUUGUAAAGCACUUUAAGUUGGGAGGAAGGGUAUUCACCUAAUACGUGGGUACUUUGACGUUACCAACAGAAUAAGCACCGGCUAACUCUGUGCCAGCCGCCGCCGUAACAC
rnacentral:rRNA from 1 species